CCUACGGGAGGCAGCAGUAAGGAAUAUUGGACAAUGCUCGCAAGAGUGAUCCAGCCAUGCCGCGUGCAGGAAGAAUGCCCUAUGGGUAGUAAACUGCUUUUGAACUAGAGAAAACCCCAGUACGUGUACUGGGCUGAUAGUAUAGUUAGAAUAAGCAUCGGCUAACUUCGUGCCAGCAGCCGCGGUAAGACGAAGGAUGCAAGCGUUAUCCGGAUUCAUUGGGUUUAAAGGGAGCGUAGGUGGACUGAUAAGUCAGUGGUGAAAUCUCCGAGCUUAACUCGGAAAUUGCCAUUGAUACUGUUGGUCUUGAGUACAGUUGCUGUGGGCGGAAUAUGACAUGUAGUGGUGAAAUACAUAGAGAUGUCAUAGAACACCGAUUGCGAAGGCAGCUCACAAAGCUGUAACUGACACUGAGGCUCGAAAGUGCGGGGAUCAAACAGGAUUAGAUACCCUGGUAGUCCGCACCGUAAACGAUGAUUACUCGCUGCUAGGGGGCAACCUUUAGUGGCUUAGCGAAAGCGANAAGUAAUCCACCUGGGAGUACGCCGGCAACGGUGAAACUCAAAGGAAUUGACGGCGNGAGAGNGCGAGGCGACGACGAGGGAGGAGG
rnacentral:rRNA from 1 species